rnacentral:rRNA from 1 species
GACGAACGCUGGCGGCGCGCCUAACACAUGCAAGUCGAACGAGAGAGAGGAAGCUUGCUUCCUUAAUCGAGUGGCGAACGGGUGAGUAACGCGUGAGGAACCUGCCUCAAAGAGGGGGACAACAGUUGGAAACGACUGCUAAUACCGCAUAAGCCCACAGCUCGGCAUCGAGCAGAGGGAAAAGGAGUGAUCCGCUUUGAGAUGGCCUCGCGUCCGAUUAGCUGGUUGGUGAGGUAACGGCCCACCAAGGCGACGAUCGGUAGCCGGACUGAGAGGUUGAACGGCCACAUUGGGACUGAGACACGGCCCAGAUUCCUACGGGAGGCAGCAGUGGGGAAUAUUGCACAAUGGGGGAAACCCUGAUGCAGCGACGCCGCGUGGAGGAAGAAGGUCUUCGGAUUGUAAACUCCUGUUGUUGAGGAAGAUAAUGACGGUACUCAACAAGGAAGUGACGGCUAACUACGUGCCAGCAGCCGCGGUAAAACGUAGGUCACAAGCGUUGUCCGGAAUUACUGGGUGUAAAGGGAGCGCAGGCGGGAAAGCAAGUUGGAAGUGAAAUCCAUGGGCUCAACCCAUGAACUGCUUUCAAAACUGUUUUUCUUGAGUAGUGCAGAGGUAGGCGGAAUUCCCGGUGUAGCGGUGGAAUGCGUAGAUAUCGGGAGGAACACCAGUGGCGAAGGCGGCCUACUGGGCACCAACUGACGCUGAGGCUCGAAAGUGUGGGUAGCAAACAGG